rnacentral:rRNA from 1 species
GAUGAACGCUGGCGGCGUGCCUAAUACAUGCAAGUCGAGCGAACGGACGAGAAGCUUGCUUCUCUGAUGUUAGCGGCGGACGGGUGAGUAACACGUGGAUAACCUACCUAUAAGACUGGGAUAACUUCGGGAAACCGGAGCUAAUACCGGAUAAUAUUUUGAACCGCAUGGUUCAAAAGUGAAAGACGGUCUUGCUGUCACUUAUAGAUGGAUCCGCGCUGCAUUAGCUAGUUGGUAAGGUAACGGCUUACCAAGGCAACGAUGCAUAGCCGACCUGAGAGGGGGAUCGGCCACACGGAAAAUGAGACCCGGUCCAGACUCCUAGGGGAGGCAGCAGUAGGGAAUCUUCCGAAAUGGGCGAAAGCCUGACGGAGCAACGCCGCGUGGGGGAUGAAGGUCUUCGGAUCGUAAAACUCUGUUAUUGGGGAAAAACAUAUGUGUAAGUAACUGUGCACAUCUUGACGGUACCUAAUCAGAAAGCCACGGCUAACUACGU